GCUAAACUAAGAUGCAGCAAUAUAUCUAGGUAUAGCUGGCACAGAUGAAGAGAUUCUGGCUUUGGGACUGCCCUAUCCUACCCUUCAGGGUAAAACCCUCUCAGAUCUCUUACUGCAGAGGCCCUCUUCAUCUCAUUGAUGAGCCAGAAUUAAACCCUCCCCCUAUGAGGGGCGAUGGAUUUACCCUGUUGCCUGGAGACUGGAUUUCAACAGAGACCCAGAGAGAGCACCGGGCCCUGGCUCCGGAGGGGCUAAGAACGAGUCCUGGAGCAGAUAACUCCUGGAGGGGAUAACGGAGUGGAGUAACCCCAGCAAAGUGAAGCCUCAGCUUGAGCUGGAGGGAGACAACAGGAAGAAGAAGGCAAUGUCUGUGGACCCCCUCCCCAGGCAGGAUUUACCUCCUGCUCCAGUGCUCAGGUUGCCUCCUGCUGGAUUACUAUUUCUCAACAUAUAAUUAAAUAUUGUUUUUGUGAUUAAUCACUAUGUUUAAAUUAUGUUUGAUUUGUAGCAAUGAGAAUACAUAAUGCAUAUCAGGUAUUUACAUCCUGAAUCAUAACUGUAGCAAAAUUACAGUUUUGAAGUAGCCACCAAAAUAAUUUUUUGGUUUGGGGUCACCGCAACAUGAGGAACUGUAUUGCGGAGUCACAGCAUUAGAAAGGUUGAGGACUACUGUUUUAGACCAUUUGUCAAUUUGGGAAUGACUUGUAUUCUUAUAAAUUUGACUAAGUUCUCUAUAAAUUUGAGAAAUUAGCCCUUUAUUAGAGAAAUGGAUUUAUGGUCCAAGAGGUUUCUCUUCGAGCUCAAGU
rnacentral:lncRNA from 1 species